rnacentral:rRNA from 1 species
AGAGUUUGAUCCUGGCUCAGGAUGAACGCUAGCUACAGGCUUAACACAUGCAAGUCGAGGGGCAGCAUGGUCUUAGCUUGCUAAGGCCGAUGGCGACCGGCGCACGGGUGAGUAACACGUAUCCAACCUGCCGUCUACUCUUGGACAGCCUUCUGAAAGGAAGAUUAAUACAAGAUGGCAUCAUGAGUCCGCAUGUUCACAUGAUUAAAGGUAUUUCGGUAGACGAUGGGGAUGCGUUCCAUUAGAUAGUAGGCGGGGUAACGGCCCACCUAGUCUUCGAUGGAUAGGGGUUCUGAGAGGAAGGUCCCCCACAUUGGAACUGAGACACGGUCCAAACUCCUACGGGAGGCAGCAGUGAGGAAUAUUGGUCAAUGGGCGAGAGCCUGAACCAGCCAAGUAGCGUGAAGGAUGACUGCCCUAUGGGUUGUAAACUUCUUUUAUAAAGGAAUAAAGUCGGGUAUGCAUACCCGUUUGCAUGUACUUUAUGAAUAAGGAUCGGCUAACUCCGUGCCAGCAGCCGCGGUAAUACGGAGGAUCCGAGCGUUAUCCGGAUUUAUUGGGUUUAAAGGGAGCGUAGAUGGAUGUUUAAGUCAGUUGUGAAAGUUUGCGGCUCAACCGUAAAAUUGCAGUUGAUACUGGAUAUCUUGAGUGCAGUUGAGGCAGGCGGAAUUCGUGGUGUAGCGGUGAAAUGCUUAGAUAUCACGAAGAACUCCGAUUGCGAAGGCAGCCUGCUAAGCUGCAACUGACAUUGAGGCUCGAAAGUGUGGGUAUCAAACAGGAUUAGAUACCCUGGUAGUCCACACGGUAAACGAUGAAUACUCGCUGUUUGCGAUAUACAGCAAGCGGCCAAGCGAAAGCGUUAAGUAUUCCACCUGGGGAGUACGCCGGCAACGGUGAAACUCAAAGGAAUUGACGGGGGCCCGCACAAGCGGAGGAACAUGUGGUUUAAUUCGAUGAUACGCGAGGAACCUUACCCGGGCUUAAAUUGCAGAUGAAUUACGGUGAAAGCCGUAAGCCGCAAGGCAUCUGUGAAGGUGCUGCAUGGUUGUCGUCAGCUCGUGCCGUGAGGUGUCGGCUUAAGUGCCAUAACGAGCGCAACCCUUGUUGUCAGUUACUAACAGGUUCUGCUGAGGACUCUGACAAGACUGCCAUCGUAAGAUGUGAGGAAGGUGGGGAUGACGUCAAAUCAGCACGGCCCUUACGUCCGGGGCUACACACGUGUUACAAUGGGGGGUACAGAGGGCCGCUACCACGCGAGUGGAUGCCAAUCCCCAAAACCUCUCUCAGUUCGGACUGGAGUCUGCAACCCGACUCCACGAAGCUGGAUUCGCUAGUAAUCGCGCAUCAGCCACGGCGCGGUGAAUACGUUCCCGGGCCUUGUACACACCGCCCGUCAAGCCAUGGGAGCCGGGGGUACCUGAAGUGCGUAACCGCGAGGAGCGCCCUAGGGUAAAACUGGUGACUGGGGCUAAGUCGUAACAAGGUA